rnacentral:rRNA from 1 species
GUCUUAAGCUGCAAGUCGAGCGGCAGCACUUCGGGUGGCGAGCGGCGAACUGGUGAGGAACACGUAGAUUAUCUGCCUCAUAGACGGGGAUAGCUCCUGGAAACAGGAAUUAAUACCCGAUAAGAGUAUACUCGAAAGCGGCGUUUGCCGCACUAUGAGAUGAGUCUGCGUCCCAUUAGCUUGUUGGUGAGGUAAAGGCUCACCAAGGCGACGAUGGGUAGCCGGCCUGAGAGGGUGAUCGGCCACAUCGGGACUGAGAUACGGCCCGGACUCCUACGGGAGGCAGCAGCUAAGAAUAUUCCGCAAUGGGCGAAAGCCUGACGGAGCAAUCCCGCGUGGAGGAUGAAGGCAUUCGUGUUGUAAACUCCUUUCGGCGUAGAAGAAUAAGGUCUAUAGGAAAUGAUAGGCUGAUGACGGUAUACGCAGAAGAAGCACCGACUAACUACGUGCCAGCAGUCGCGGUAAUACGUAGGGUGCAAACGUUGCUCGGAAUCACUGGGCGUAAAGGGUACGUAGGUGGCCUAAUAAGUAGGUGGUGAAAUCCUGGGGCUUAACUCCAGGGCUGCCAUCUAAACUGUUAGGCUCGAGUUGUAAUAUGGGUGACAGGAAUUUCUAGUGUAGGAGUGAAAUCUGUAGAUAUUAGAAGGAACACCAAUAGCGAAGGCAAGUCACUGGGUAACAACUGACACUAAGGUACGAAAGCUAGGGGAGCAAAUGGGAUUAGAGACCCCAGUAGUCCUAGCCGUAAACGCUGCACACUAGCUUUAUGGACUCUAAGUCUAUAUAGCAAAGCUAACGCGUUA